CCAAUUGAGGCGCAUCACUGUACUGUGGCUUUAUCUUCAAAUGAAGAAAUUCCCACUAGCAAAGGCAUCACCAUUCUACCCCAAGCAGGCUUGUGAUCCUGAAGAAAAUCCGCUGCUAAGGGGAGGGGGGUGUUUCCCUUUAGGCCUACACCUCCUUGAAAGAGACCACAGGUUGGUGUUGAAGGCUGCCAGAGCCUUCAGGGUUUGAGGAGAUGCAGAGACACCCUGUGGUGACAGGAAGAAUAUGGUCAGAAUUCGAACCAAUCUUGACACAGAACUGGAUCAGAAAAGCUGCAUCCUGGGGACACAGAGAUCUUCCCCAAGAUGCUGUUGUUUCAUUUCCCCCCUCCUGACCUGCCUUCCUGUCUGGCACCUUUGCCCUGCAUGUUUGCCCGACAGUCCCUGCCACAAAGCUUUACCUAUAGCUCUGUUCUUUAUCUCAGGAUCUACCAUCUGGCUGCAGCCUGCUGUGUGUACUGCGAUUGGAGGGGUAGCUGUGGAGAUGCUCCAUUCGUGGAAAAUGAUUUUCCUACAUCCUGCCAGACCUGGACAAGAGGGAUUAGCUCUGAAAGAUCCUGCAGCAAAAGCCUUUGAAGCUCACUUCUUAGAGCAGGUGCUGCUGUUACAACAGAUAAAAUGAGCUGGCAGAAAGGAAAGAAGGAACUUACAGAAGAAAGCACAGGAGAUGGGAAACACAACCGAAAGAAGCGGGAGCGAGUAUUUAAGAAAAGAUUUUCUGGACUGAGUUUCUUCUCUGGGUCUCCUAGGAAUAAACUCCCUCAGGGAAGGAGUCAGAGUUUUGAAGACAAGAAGAGAUGCUUACACAGGAAAGGUUCCAAAAAGCUGAAACCAGCACGGGAAGAAAUAUGUUCUUUAAGGCAACCACAUUCUGGAAAAAUGUGUCCAAAAUGUGAAAUCCUUGUCUGCCGAAAAUGUGAGACCCUGCAUUCAGAAAGCAGUUUCAUUGCUCACAGCCUACUUGAUCACUACGACAGAGGAGGACGUGGCAGCUCUACUACACUGAUUACAAAAAGCCAGAAAGUAUGCAGAGGUGAUUAAAGAAUUGCUGUGGGUGCCCUGCUGAUACCUGACUACAUCAAGAAAGCUGAAGCUUGGAUCCAUUUAGGCUGAAGCCUCAGUUUGCACAAUCUGAAUGCAGCAUCAGCAACUGCAGCUGUGACGCUGUUCAUACUUACCAUAUGUAGCAGAUACACAUUCACUCAUUUAACCAGUAUAAAGUCUGUGAGCAGGAACUGUAAGUGUCUCAGCUAUUAAGAACAGGAAAUGAUUUCAAACAGCUUCAAAGAGUUUUAUUUUUCCCCUCAAGGAAUCAAGAUUAUCACACUGAGCUGCGAAAGAGAAAGCAAGUAUUAAAUGCAGAACAUUACAAUUGUUUGUAAUGUGCAGGUAUGUUUCAGUGUUACUUGUGGU